CAGCAGCCGCGGUAAAACGGAGGGAGCUAGCGUUGUUCGGAAUUACUGGGCGUAAAGCGCGCGUAGGCGGUUACUCAAGUCAGAGGUGAAAGCCCGGGGCUCAACCCCGGAACUGCCUUUGAAACUAGGUGACUAGAAUCUUGGAGAGGUCAGUGGAAUUCCGAGUGUAGAGGUGAAAUUCGUAGAUAUUCGGAAGAACACCAGUGGCGAAGGCGACUGACUGGACAAGUAUUGACGCCGAGGUGCGAAGGCGUGGGGAGCAAACAGGAUUAGAUACCCCGGUAGUCCCUGUCUCUUAUAA
rnacentral:rRNA from 1 species